UACGGAGGGUGCGAGCGUUAAUCGGAAUUACUGGGCGUAAAGGGCGCGUAGGCGGUGGGUUACGUCUGCCGUGAAAUCCCCGGGCUCAACCUGGGAAUGGCGGUGGAAACGGGCUGACUGGAGUAUGGGAGAGGGUGAUGGAAAUCCAGGUGUAGCGGUGAAAUGCGGAGAGAUCUGGAGGAACCCCAGGGGCGAAGGCGGUCACCUGGCCCAAAACUGACGCUGAGGCGCGAAAGCGUGGGGAGCAAACAGG
rnacentral:rRNA from 1 species